UAUUUUUCUUAAGUCUUACUUUCAUUAAAUUUCAUAAAGUUAGUGUUAUUAUCAGUUUCUUCUCUUGAAUAUCCAACGAGAUUGGAGUUAAAUCGUAGCACUACAUGU
rnacentral:snoRNA from 1 species